GGCAGUAGCUCAGUUGGCAGAGCGUUGGCUUCCCAAGCCGAAGGUCACGGGUUCGAACCCCGCUUGCC
rnacentral:tRNA from 1 species